AAUUUAGUAGAGUUCUCUGUAUAGUCUCUAAUCUUAGAAAAAUGUUGGAAGGGUAAUUUUUAAGUGUAGUGGUUUGAAGAACAAACCAGAAGCGCACAAACCUUUGUGUAUUUUAGAAUAUAUUUGUCUUCAUUCUGCGGAGCUCUUGUGUUGUAAAGGUGCAGAACUACGUAAAAAUAGUGUUGGGCAGACUUACAUAGUACAUCUGAAAUCAGAUACUGGUUUAUUCGACCAUAUUUCUAAGGGCAUUUUUCCAGUAAAAUUGUUUUAUUUUUUGAGUAGCCUUCCUAUAGUGGUACAUGUUACAUCAGUUGCGCAUAUCUUGAUUUUACAGAAUCUGUCUUAAGUACCAAUUUUGGUUUUUCAAAUCAAUGUUUCUGAAAUUUUUGAACACUGAAAGUGGUUUUAAAUGAAUAUUCUGAAUCUAGUUCUUCAGAAUCCUCUUUGAAUUGUGAAAUGCAAAAUAAUUGUUAGCAGUUUAACCUGAAAGAUCUUUUUACAUGAUAAAUGGGGGAGGAGAAUGAAAUGAAAAUGUUGAAGACCCUGAUUUGAAAUUGAGUAAAGGUCUAGAUACUGUAAGUUUUAGAGUAGCUUUAGAGACAAAGCUAGUAUCCCACUUGGUGAGAUCAAGUAACUUGUGGUUUAAAAUUUAAAGUAACCAGUGGCCAUUUUAACUUCACUAAUUUCUCUUGGAGGAGCUAAUUUUUCAUUGCUCAUGAUUGUAAAACAUACUUCCGGAUGGUAAGGGAGAUGUUAAGAUGAUUUGUCUUGAAGAAUGGUAAACUUUUUCUUUGUUUGUUUAUUGCCUGUCAUAAAAAGAGGGAAAGUAAAAAAAAAAAAAAAAAGGUUCAUAAUCUUAAAUCAGUCCAAAAAUUUGAAUUUUCUGUAUUUCUGUUUAAUUCAAUGCGUUAAUCUUUAGCAUUGGUCAAUACAGCCAAAAGAUGAGGAAAACAAAGACUGAUAGAUACUAAGAUAAGAAAUAACUGCAACCAUAAAUGUAUACAGGUUAUGUGUCCAUGAGCCAUCUCUUCAGUUUGCCCAUAGAUUUUUGUCUGUGGAAUAUUUUCUUGUUUCAUCACACUGAAUCGUUGGCCAAGAAAUGCUUGAAAAUCAAAACAUUAAUAUCAUCUUUCUUCUUUUUUUUAAAGGUGACUUAAGAGAUUAAAAUUAAUUUGGUUGCUGAUGGUUCUGAACAAAUAAUGAGUUCUUUUAUUUGAGGUAUGCCAUUUUGAAGACUGAGACAUUGGAGUUUUAUCCUAGAGGAUAAAGGAAAUCUUUGGCAAAGUCAGUAUUUUAUAUAGCAAAAAUAUGAACCUCAAACUGAAUCCUCUAAAGGCCCCAUACAAUGAAGUAGACAUUGGUGGAAGCAUUUACACCCAGUCAGCUUGAAGAGUUUCAAAUGGACCCUACCACUGAGAAAUCAAGAUGGCAGUCUACUAUGGGGAAUUGAGGAAAAUGGAUUAAUACAAGAGUCCUGUGAUAAUAUACAACCAAGACAGGGUUCUUUUAACAUGGAUUCCAUGCAGUGAAUGAAGACAUAGGUUUCUUACCCAACACAAAUGGACAGUGGAUUUGACUUUCUAAAGACUUUUUUUUGUGGACAUUUUGACAUUUGGAGAAGAAAGAUGGCACACUAACCCAGAUAAUAGUUUUUAUGCCUGGAAUUUUUUGCAGUUUGAUUUGUAUGCGUAUGACCUCUUGAAAUGUUAAUUUUUAAUAAAAUUUGUAACACUUAAAAAUUUCUCAGUUUGGGUUUUUUUUUUUUAAGUGGAAGUUUAAUU
rnacentral:sRNA from 1 species